AGAGAUGAAGUGUUUAGGUAGGAGAGAGGAAGUGUUUAGAGAUGAAAGAUGAAGUGUUUAGGUAGGAGAGAGGAAGUGUUUAGAGAUGAAGUGGUUAGGUAGGAGAGAGGAAGUGUUUAGAGAUGAAGUGUUUAGGUAGGAGAGAGGAAGUGUUUAGAGAUGAAGUGUUUAGGUAGGAGAGAGGAAGUGUUUAGAGAUGAAGUGUUUAGGUAGGAGAGAGGAAGUGUUUAGAGAUGAAGUGUUUAGGUAGGAGAGAGGAAGUGUUUAGGUAGGAGAGAGGAAGUGUUUAGGUAGGAGAGACAAAGUCAUCAGGUAGGAGAGAGGA